rnacentral:lncRNA from 1 species
AGGAAGUGUUUCAUUAGGUGGAAAUCUACUCAGAGGCUGUAUUAAUUACAUAGAUGACCCCGCGGUUGCCCGUUACCGAUGAGGACACUGAGCCUGCCGUCUCUCUAAAAAGUCUAUGGUUUUCUGCGAGUGCAAAGGACAGCAUCACAAAUUUACUGAUAAGAAUCCCUAGGUCUUCGGGAGGUGGUCUUCUGCGCUGUGCCCAACAGCAAGCCCCACAGGCCCGCAUCCCAACUCGGACCCCCAGCCUCUGGCUCAGAAAGUAAGAGAAUGCUCUGGAUCUGGAUCUGGAACCAGCUCCAGCAGACUCUCCAAAUGCAAGAAGCCAUCUUUUUGUUUUGUUUUGUUUUUUAAGAUUUUAUUUAUUUAUUUGACAGAGACAGAUCACAAGUAGGCAGAGGCAGGCAGAAAGAGAGUGAAGCAAGCUCCCUGCUGAGCAGAGCCGGAUGCGGG